CACGUAAGCUCACUUGUAAUUUAUUACAGUGUGGUAUUAUCUUAGCCAUUCCCUUUUAGUUGUGGAGUGAUUAACCACUCUAAAUUGUAACUCGGGGGACCGCUGUGAUUUUUCUUCAAACCGGAGGAAGGUUGCGGCAAUAACAGGUCUGUGAUGCCCUCAGAUGUCCUGGGCUGCACACGUGCUACACUGAUCCCGGCAGUUGGCAUGUGAUUUUCUCCAAUGACGAACCUAGUGGACUUGGCGUCUGUGCGCAUUCGUGUGCUAAUGACUGCCGUCACUUUAAACACUGGUCGUUAGACUCGUGCGAUCCCUCGGAAAACGUGAUUUCUGUUCCCAAACAAAGCACUUUCGUACCCUCGCUCAAACAAACGUGAUUCCAAAUCCCUUACGAUUGCUACAUCCUUUCUCGUAACGUCUCGCCUAGCGGAGCUUUCAACUUUUCGUCGCAACUCUCAAUUCACAGUGGGGACAGUCGUUUGUCAACUUUUCGUCUCGGUCCCAACUAGGAAUGCCUCGUACGAGUUGGUUCAUCAGACCACUCGGAAUACGUCCCUGCCCUUUGUACACACCGCCCGUCGCUUUUACCGAUGAACUUUUUUGCGAGUAUGAUGGACUAACUUUGCGCUCAAUUUGAAUCUGUUGUGGAAAUUCGCUCGAACAACGGGAUUUAAAG
rnacentral:rRNA from 1 species